rnacentral:rRNA from 1 species
UAGCUAAUCUGCCCUACACUAGAGGACAACAGUUGGAAACGGCUGCUAAUACUCUAUACUCCUGUCUUACAUAAGUUAGAUAGGAAAGUUUUCGGUGUAGGAUGAGGCUAUAUUGUAUCAGCUAGUUGGUGAGGUAAUGGCUCACCAAGGCUAUGACGCAUAACUGGUCUGAGAGGAUGAUCAGUCACACUGGAACUGAGACACGGUCCAG